UAAAAGGGUAAUUAAAUGCUUAAAGUUGCGUUAUGUUUCACAGGGUUACCAGAGAUGGGUGGUGUGAUAAAACGUUUAGAAGACAUAACUCAAGGGCUGGUUCGCUUGGCUGGUGAGCUGAAACAGUGCAUCGAAGACGUUAGAAUAGUUAGCGCUCGUCAGAUCGAGCGUUUCGAGCAGGAGCGAGCGUCGGCGCUGCUAGCGGCCAGUGUAGACGCUCAUGUUGAAGCUGAGCAGGUUACACUGCAUAACGUUGAUGAAUCGGAGUCGAAAAAGUGCGCGAAUUGCAACCGCGAGGCGUCAGCGGAAUGUUCGCUCUGUCGGCGCACUCCAUACUGCUCCACAUACUGCCAGAAGCGCGACUGGGCGUCGCACCAAAUCGAGUGUCUUCGCUCCGUGCCUACCAUACACACGGACACGCAACAGCACCAGUCUAUCAUGCUCAUAGUCGAGAGCCAGCACCAAUAACCUUCUGAUCGCGAACUGUGUACCACAAUAGAAAAUGGAAACACUUGUUGAGUUUCGAAUCGUAGUUCGCUCCGCCGGCGCACUCCGUACUGCUCGACGUACUGCCAGAAGCUCGACUGGGCGUCGCACCAGAUCGAGUGUCUGUCCCUCCGUGGCCACCAUACACACGGACAUGCAGCAGCACCAGUGAUACAUUCCAUCUACUGUAAUGUGACGAUUUCACUACAAGCCUGUGACGUCAUUUUGUACUCGGUUUGAUCGUGAGUAGUUCUUAUCUCGAUAUUCCUCCAUUUUAUUAUUAUUAUAUUACUGUCUUUAUUUAUAUUUUUUACUGUCUUUCAUUAGUAUUUUUUUUUAUUUCAAUAAAUUUCUUGACCAAAUUUAUAUAUAAUUUGGCAGUAGUGGCACCUUUAUAUAAGUUAAGUUUUUGUACUAUGUAUAGAUAGGUACUACAAUAGCAUCACGAUUACGGAAUCAAACAAAGUCAGGGGUAUUCCGUAUAAUCGAAAAUCCGGAUAAUCGCUUUCAAAGACAAAUCAAACAAUAUGCAAUUAAAUUUUAAUAUUUUGUUAAUUUGUAAAGGGUUUUGCAUAUGUCAUUUAAACAAAUGGGAUGUAAUAAAAUUACGAGUUAUAAAGGUAAUGUAUUAUGUGAUACCUAUUUAUCCAAUUAAUACAUAAUACCACUUCUAAAUCGAUAAUUAGAACCAUAAAGAAUAAGUCCGGAUAAUUCAUUAUUUAGAUAACUGGUGUUCGGAUAAUCUAGAUUCUACUGUAUAUCUGUUUGUAUCAAACUAAUAUGUGGAUCUAUAACGGCAAAAUCUGUGACGGGUUUGUAUGAAAUGUUUAUAUGUUUUGUAGUUACAGUCAGUGUAUCUGGCGGCUUUGUGUAAAUUAAAUUAAAAUAAUUCCUAUGUAUUAAUCUACCACAUUAGGUCAUAUUAGAAGUAUAAUAUUGUUUUUAUUGAACCAAUGUUUAAUUAUAUUUUUUUUUUACAAUUAAAGAAAAUAAAUAUAAUUGAUAAACUACGUUCAUUGUUGCUAUGAUUUCUUUAUUAAAAACAUAUUUUGUCUCAAUGAUAUUUUGUUUUUGU
rnacentral:misc_RNA from 1 species